UACGGAGGAUGCAAGCGUUAUCCGGAAUUAUUGGGCGUAAAGCGUCCGCAGGUGGCACUUCAAGUCUGUCGUCAAAGACCGGGGCUUAACCCUGGAAAGGCGAUGGAAACUGGAAGGCUAGAGAGAGGUAGGGGUAGAGGGAAUUCCCAGUGUAGCGGUGAAAUGCGUAGAGAUUGGGAAGAACAUCGGUGGCGAAAGCGCUCUACUGGACCUCAUCUGACACUCAGGGACGAAAGCUAGGGGAGCGAAUGGG
rnacentral:rRNA from 1 species